AACCAUGGUGAGGACAUUCUCUAAUGUACCCCUUAUAACGAUCCCAAGCUUCAUGAAAAAGUUCACUUUCUUUUUGUUGGAACCUAUAAAUCUUCUCUAAAGAGGUU
rnacentral:snoRNA from 1 species